AUCAUGAAACUUUUCUUGUGAAAGGAAAAUCUCGGUUAAUUUUCACGCGUGUUUAUCACCACCGGCAAAUAUUUAUUCAGCGUCAAGUCGGCAGUACUCUCAUGGUUUUAUUCGGUAUUGUGAGGUGUCGCGUUUUCGAAAAAAUCUUCAGGACGAUGGUCGUCGCACCGGAAGCCGUCGUGCCCUCGAAAUGGGGCUAUCAAAUCGGGCGGACGCCCUCCCUAAGCGAUUGCUUGUGCGAGAACGCUCCAGCUCACGUCCUGUUCGUGACGACCGUUUCAAUGUGCAAGAAAAAUGCGGAAGCACGUUUGUGGGCCAAAAGACAGGCCCGAGCUGAAGCUAGAGAGAUACGUAUGCGCGAACUGGAGAGGCAACAGAAAGAACAAGAGGAAAAUGCCGACCGACAAUUCGAUAUGUUGGCAGAACCGAUGGCCAGGACUGCGAGGACGGUUACUGCAGGGAGCAGGUAUCUCUCCAGCAGGAGGAGCUCCGAGGACUCGCUGGAGGACGGGGGCAGUCUCAGGGAUUUGCGGAACGAACUAAAAGAGUAUGAGGAGAAGUUUCGUAAGGCGAUGAUCGCCAACGCCCAACUCGAUAACGACAAAACGUCUCUCACAUAUCAACUGGAACUGCUUAAGGAUAGGUUAGAAGAACUAGAAGAGGAGCAUUCGCAGUUGAAGCGAGAGCACCGGGAAAAGUGCCGCGACUUCGACCAAUUAAAACGGUUGUGCGCAAAAUUAAAAGAUGAUUUGGCUGUGACUCGGGCUGAACUCGAAGAACGCGAUCAGUUGAUAAGCGAGAAGGGUUUAGUCAUCGUCGGCGAGGACUCGAUCAACGAAGAGGAACAAAGGAACGGCGAUGUCAGUCUUAGUAGUAUAGGUACACCGAAAAAGGCUUUAGUUAGUGUAGAAAAUGCCCAGCUGUUGCAAAGCGCGGGCGAAGGCAGUCUGGACGUGCGAUUAGCGAAAUUGAUGAAAGAAAAAGGCGAACUGCAGGAUCAAAUUAGCCAUUUAAAAUUAGAAUUAGAAGAGGAGCGAAGCAAGCGGAAAAAAUCGAGUGCGGGCGGCACGUUGAACGGGCCGUCGUCGGACCCCGACUUGGACGAAAUAGACAUUCAAAGAGAGGCGAGUAAACAGCUCGGGGAUUACAAAUUCCGGGCGCAAAAGGCCGAGCAAGACGUCGCCACCUUGCAGGCGACCGUUGCUCGGCUCGAGAGCCAAGUCAUUAGGUACAAGGCUGCGGCCGAAGUCUCGGAGAAGGCCGAGGAGGCCCUAAAGGCCGAAAAACGCAAGCUGCAAAGAGAGGUUGACAACUUGAAUCAGAGGUUAGUGCUGGUGGAAGCCUCAAAUGCGGCCUUGAUACGACAGCGGGAACGGCUUUUGUUCCGACAAGCCCUAGGAGCCCUGUAGUUGUCUUGACCUAGCUCGUUGUAAUGUAGCACUUUUCAUUACGUAAUCAUUAACACACAUCUAACCACAUUUCAGUCUGUACAGUAACAAUAAAUAAACACUUAAUUUACCCGUUUGUUGUUUUUGCACCCCUUAUACAGGGUUAUUCUUUUUUGGGGCCUACAUUUUAAUUUCUAGCUUUUUUCAUUCCAUAGCUAGAGCUUUAAAAUUUUGUAUAUGAUUCAAAUCGGCCAUUCUUAGUUCAAUUAAAUUAUUUUCAAAAUGGCUGAGCUUUUUUGAUUUUCAAAAAACGGCUGUAACCCAGUUUUUUCAAAUGAAACGACUCUAUUUUAUUAACGGCAAUCGAAAUAACAUCAACAUUUAUGGUGACUUUUAUCAACACGUCGUAUACCUAUCUUUUUUUGAAGUAAUCACAAAUACGAAUUUUACUUAAUUUACGUAAUUUUCAUCGUUAAUCAAGUAGGCCUUGCAAAAUGGCCAACUUUUACAUUUUAUUUAGUUUUUAGCUAGUAUAUUAUCAGAUAAGCAGUAAAACAAUAAUAUUUAAUUAUUUAUACUAUAAUGUGAUGAAAUAUGUAAACUAACUCAGUUAGUCUGCCAACAAAUUUUGAAUUUCUUGAUGAAAAUGUUGGACAAAUCAAACAUUUCUUUUAAUAAUAAUAAUUUGGUUGAAGUCAGCCAAUUUGGAUCGUAUACAAAAUUUUUAAACUAGCUAUUUUAGAAGUUAAAAAGCUUCUAAUGUAGGUCAUAAAAGAAUCAGCCUGUAGAUAACAAAAGAAUGCGGAAAUAAAACGUCAAGAGUGUUGUGCAAAUUAAAUUUUACAGACACUGACACUCUUGAUUUUUGGAUUAAAAUGACACAGGCGUGCAAACGUUGCAAAAACUGAUAUAAUAAGUUUGUCAUAGUCUUUAUUUACACUAGUUUUGACACUUUUGUUAUCUAGCUACUUGUAAAAUUGCCCUAGAUAACGUUUUUACUGCAUUUGGGUUGUACAUAAUAAAUUUGUCGGUUUCAAGGCUUUUGAGCACGGGAGGCGCAGAGUCGGGCCGAGGAAUUGGAAACAUCAAACACACACUUACUGAAACGUUUAGAUAAAUUGAAGAAUGCGAAAUCAGCGUUACUGAAAGAACUUUGACAAUCAUCGAGUAGUUAGUCGGAUGUCGGAAGGAACGUGCAGUGAGUUGUGAAACGGAACCAGCCUAAUAGUCAUAAUUUCAUGAAAAAUUAAUUUUAAUUUAACUCUUUUAACAAAUUUUAACACAUGAAUUCGUCAUUUUAAAGUGUUGUUUAUUUAUUUGAGUUUUAAACCUUGUGUAAAUCUGUUUUGUCAAAUUAUUUUGUAUUUAUUUGAUAGAGAUAAGAUUCUAUUUUGUACAUAUGUAGGUUUGUAAAAAUUAUCUCAGGAUCGUUAUAUCCGUACCAAUUGCUUGCGAAAUUGCAAUAUCUACCAGCAACAAAAUUGCUUCUUGUACUAUAUCAGGUGAUACUAAUACUUAACUUAGCUAAAAAAUCAAUAUGUAGCUCAAUUUAUACAAAAGUUAGAAAUAGAUGUAUUCUGUAACAAGUUUUGUUAGCUCUCUGGAACAAGCUCAACAAUGUGGCGAUGUUUUAGCCACCUUGAAGGAAUUACCAAACGUCGUGUGAUGCGAUUUUUACAAAGCAAGCUAACACUAGAAAUUUGUACAUAUGAAAUAUGUGAUUUUGUGUAUAUUCUUUUGGUAAAAGGUAUUUCAAGAAAUAAACUAACCGCUCCUGCGGGCGCAGCAGGGGUUGAGUCAAGCCAAAUUCACUAAACCUCUCACGCGCGCAGCAGCGAAUUUAUAAAGUAA